GGAGAGGUGGUCGAGUGGUUGAAGGCGCAGCACUGGAAAUGCUGUUUAGCAGCAAUGUUAACGAGGGUUCGAAUCCCUCCCUCUCCA
rnacentral:tRNA from 1 species